AUGGAGGAGCCAGAGUCCAGCCGGGCCCCGUCCGUCUUCCCCUUGGCUUCCUGCUGCAAAGACGCCACUGCCGCCUCAGUCCUGGUGCUCGGCUGCCUGGUCACUGACUUCUUCCCGGAGCCUGUGGCCGUGACCUGGGACAGAGAUGUCCUGAAGGACAGUGUGGUCACCUUCCCCACCUCCCUUCACUCCUCCGGCCUCUACACAACCGUCAGCCAGCUGCAAGUCCCGGGCUCUGAGGCCUCGAGGACCUUCACCUGCAGUGUGGCGCAUGGGGCAUCCCCGCCCUCUAACAGGACCUUCUCAGCAUGCCAUGAGGACGUCUCCGGUCCCACCGUGAAGCUCUUCCACUCCUCCUGCAACCCCAGCGGCGACACCAGCACUCCCAUCCAGCUCCUGUGCCUCAUCCGGGGCAUUCCUACCGACCAAAUUAAUGUCACCUGGCUGGUGGAUGAGCAGGAAUCCAGCAGCAUAACCCCCUACGUGGCCCCCCUGAAGCAGGAGGAUGGGCUGUCGUCCACCUACAGCGAGGUCAACAUCACCCAGGGCCAUUGGGUCUCGGAGAGCACCUACACCUGCCGGGUGACCUACGAAGACCACAUCUUUGAGGACCAUGCCCGCAAGUGCUCAGACCCUGAGCCCCGCGGCGUGCGCAUCUACCUGAGCCCGCCCAGCCCCUUGGACCUGUACGUGCUGAAUUCGCCCAAGCUCACGUGCCUGGUGGUGGACCUGGCCCAGGCGGACGGCAUGAAACUCAGCUGGCUGCAGGGGAACCGCACCCCCACUGAGAAGGCCGUGGAGCUCAGGAAGCGGCACUACAACGGCACCCUGAGUGUCACGUCCACCCUGCCUGUGCUCACCCAGGACUGGGUGGAGGGUGAGACGUACCAGUGCAUGCUGGAGCACCCCGACCUGCCCAGGAAGAUCGUGCGCUCCCUCACCAAGGCCCGGGGCCAGCGGGCAGCCCCCGAAGUCUACGUGUUCCAGCCGCCAGAUGAGGGUGAGGCCAGCGCGGACAAGGUGACCCUCACCUGUCUGGUCCAGAACUUCUUCCCUGCGGACAUCUCGGUGCUGUGGCUGCGGAACAACGUCCCCGUGGGCGCGGAGCAUCAGACCACCACGGAGCCGCAGCGGACCAGCAGCCCCCGGCCCCGUUUCUUCGUCUUCAGCCGCCUGGAGGUGGCCCGGCGGGACUGGGAGCGGGGGAGCACCUUCUCCUGCCGGGCCGUGCACGAGGCACUGCCCCAGCCCCGCACGCGGGACCAGUCGCUGUCCAAGGCGCAGGGUAAAUGA